rnacentral:rRNA from 1 species
GACGAACGCUGGCGGCGUGCUUAACACAUGCAAGUCGAACGAAGUGGCGAACGGGUGAGUAAUACGUGCGUAACCUGCCCUCCUUUUUGGGAUAAGCCUUGGAAACGGGGUCUAAUACCGAAUAAAGGGGGAUGGGCUAGAGGCCUAUCAGCUUGUUGGUGGGGUGAUGGCUGACCAAGGCGGUGACGGGUAGCCGGCCUGAGAAGGUGACCGUGCACCUUGGUACUGUGAAACGGGCCAUACGACUACAGCAGGGAGGCGUGGGGGAUAGUGCACGAUGGGCGAAAGCCUGCUGGAGCGACGCCUCGUGGGGGAUGAAGGGUUGCGGGUUGUAAACCUCUUGCGAUAUCGAGCGGGUAGGUGGAGAAGAAGCGCCGGCUAACUACGUGCCAGCAGCCGCGGUAAUAC